UACGUAGGGUGCGAGCGUUGUCCGGAAUUAUUGGGCGUAAAGAGCUCGUAGGCGGUUUGUUGCGUCGGCCGUGAAAACCUGCAGCUCAACUGCAGGCUUGCGGUCGAUACGGGCAGGCUGGAGUUCGGUAGGGGAGACUGGAAUUCCUGGUGUAGCGGUGAAAUGCGCAGAUAUCAGGAGGAACACCGGUGGCGAAGGCGGGUCUCUGGGCCGAUACUGACGCUGAGGAGCGAAAGCGUGGGGAGCGAACAGG
rnacentral:rRNA from 1 species